UACGUAGGGGGCUAGCGUUGUCCGGAAUCAUUGGGCGUAAAGAGCGUGUAGGCGGCCCGGUAAGUCCGCUGUAAAAGUCAAAGGCUCAACCUUUGAAUGUCAGUGGAUACUGUCGGGCUAGAGUCCGGAAGAGGCGAGUGGAACUCCUGGUGUAGCGGUGGAAUGCGCAGAUAUCAGGAAGAACACCAACGGCGAAGGCAGCUCGCUGGGACGGUACUGACGCUGAGGAGCGAAAGCGUGGGGAGCAAACAGG
rnacentral:rRNA from 1 species